GAGAUAAUACUUAUACAGAUUUCUUAUGUAACUGCAUGGCCUUACAGAGGUUCAAAUUCCUUGGAUUAUGAAUCACUCAUAUAGAUUGAAGUUUAGAUGUGUGUCCAGAAGAGUACUUAUUCAUGCAUGGAAAUUUAUAGGCUUAUUUGAAAUCAGUGGAAUUAAUACACUUUGAAAGUCAAGACAUAAGUGUUUCAAAUUUCUGUUUAACUGUCUUGAAAUAAGCCG
rnacentral:lncRNA from 1 species